UCUUCCAAAUAUGUGCUGCUUAUUUGAAGAGAAUAAUGUACUCUGAUAGAAAAGGUCCAUUUUUGGCCAAGAGCAUAUGACUAUCUUGUAUAUUUCCAUACAAGUUCUUGAAGUCCAUUUGUAGGAGAACAUAAAGCAUAUG
rnacentral:sRNA from 1 species